UUCUGAACCUGAGGGAGUUAGAACCGUUGGGGUGACUUCCGGUGCCCAGGGGUGGGGACUGCACACCCUGCUGCAGUACUCAGCAGCAGCAUUAUAAGCUGUGCGUCUCACAACUCACCGUCCUCGGCUGUCCUCUCACACACAGGCGCACUCCAUUCCCCAGUUUUGUUCCGAUCAGGAAGAAACCCUCGAACUUGAAUGCAGAAGACGAUGGUAGAAACCAGGUGAUAACCCCGACAAACCGAGUAGCACCAAGGAUUG